rnacentral:rRNA from 1 species
UGCCNUAUGGGUNGUAAACUGCUUUUGUACGGGNAGAAAAUCAGCUACGUGUAGUUGUUUGCCGGUACCGUACGAAUAAGGAUCGGCUAACUCCGUGCCAGCAGCCGCGGUAAUACGGAGGANCCGAGCGUUAUCCGGAUUCAUUGGGUUUAAAGGGUGCGCAGGCGGGAAAGUAAGUCAGUGGUGAAAAACUGCCGCUCAACGGUAGUCGUGCCAUUGAUACUGCUUUUCUUGAGUUUGGAUGAGGUAGGCGGAAUGUGCAGUGUAGCGGUGAAAUGCAUAGAUAUUGCACAGAACACCAAUUGCGAAGGCAGCUUACUAAUCCACGACUGACGCUGAGGCACGAAAGCGUGGGGAGCGAACAGGAUUAGAUACCCUGGUAGUCCACGCCGUAAACGAUGUUCACUCGCUGUUUGCGAUACACAGUAAGCGGCUGAGCGAAAGCAUUAAGUGAUCCACCUGGGGAGUACGAUCGCAAGGUUGAAACUCAAAGGAAUUGACGGGGCCCGCACAAGCGGAGGAACAUGUGGUUUAAUUCGAUGAUACGCGAGGAACCUUACCUGGGCUAGAACGCAUUCGGAAUCGCCCCGAGAGGGGCGCGCCAGCGAUGGCCGUUUGCGAGGUGCUGCAUGGUUGUCGUCAGCUCGUGCCGUGAGGUGUCGGGUUAAGUCCCAUAACGAGCGCAACCCCUACUGCUAGUUGCCAGCGGAUCAUGCCGGGGACUCUAGCGGAACUGCCAGCGUAAGCUGCGAGGAAGGUGGGGAUGACGUCAAAUCAGCACGGCCCUUACGUCCAGGGCUACACACGUGUUACAAUGGCCGGUACAAAGGGCAGCUACACAGCGAUGUGAUGCUAAUCUCAAAAGCCGGUCUCAGUUCGGAUCGAAGUCUGCAACCCGACUUCGUGAAGCUGGAUUCGCUAGUAAUCGCGCAUCAGCCAUGGCGCGGUGAAUACGUUCCCGGGCCUUGUACACACCGCCCGUCAAGCCAUGGAAGCCGGGGGUACCUGAAGUAUGUAACCGCAAGGAGCNNCCU